rnacentral:rRNA from 1 species
UACGAAGGGGGCUAGCGUUGCUCGGAAUCACUGGGCGUAAAGGGUGCGUAGGCGGGGCUUUAAGUCAGGGGUGAAAUCCUGGAGCUCAACUCCAGAACUGCCUUUGAUACUGAAGAUCUUGAGUUCGGGAGAGGUGAGUGGAACUGCGAGCGUAGAGGUGAAAUUCGUAGAUAUUCGCAAGAACACCAGUGGCGAAGGCGGCUCACUGGCCCGAUACUGACGCUGAGGCACGAAAGCGUGGGGAGCAAACAGG